rnacentral:rRNA from 1 species
ACACCUGCCCUAUCGUGGGAGAUAAUCUCGGGAAACUGAGGCUAAUACUCGAUAGAUCUCGAGUACUGGAAUGAUUGGACGUCAAAAGCUCCGGCGCCUUAGGAUGGGUCUGCGGCUGAUUAGGUAGUUGGCGGUGCAAUGGCCCACCAAGCCUAUGAUCAGUAGGGGCCAUGAAAGUGGAAGCCCUGAGACGGAAUCUGAGACACUAUUCCGAGCCUUACGGGGUGCAGCAGGCGCGAAAACUUUACAAUGCGCGAAAGUGUGAUAAGGGAAUUCCAAGUGGUCAUAUACCAUAUGCACUUUUGCCAAGCUUAAAAAGCUUUGGGAAUAAGGGGUGGGCAAGACUAGUGCCAGCCGCCGCGGUAAAACUAGCAUCUCAAGUGGCAGUCACCAUUAUUGGGCUUAAAGCGUCCGUAGCUCGUUUGGAAAGUCUCUGGUGAAAUCCUGCGGCUUAACCGUAGGGCGUGCCGGAGAAACUACCAGACUUGGAGCCGGGAGAGGUCGGGGGUACGUCUGGGGUAGGGGUGAAAUCCUAUAAUCCUAGACGGACCAACAGUGGCGAAGGCGCCCGACAAGAACGCUUUUGACAGUGAGGGACGAGAGCCAAGGGCGCGAAACGGAUUAGAUACCCGUGUAGUCUUGGCCGUAAACGAUGCGAACUAGGUGUUGUGACCUCUUCGAGGUCUUGCAAUGCCGAAGAGAAAUCGUUAAGUGAGCCGCCUGGGGAGUACGGCCGCAAGGCUGAAA